rnacentral:rRNA from 1 species
GGUUCAGGAUGAACGCUAGCUACAGGCUUAACACAUGCAAGUCGAGGGGCAGCAUGAUCUUAGCUUGCUAAGAUUGAUGGCGACCGGCGCACGGGUGAGUAACGCGUAUCCAACCUUCCCUAUAGUAGGGUAUAGCCCGGCGAAAGUCGGAUUAAUGCUCUAUGUUCUUCUUUGAUGGCAUCUGAUGAGAAGCAAAGAUUUAUCGCUAUAGGAUGGGGGAUGCGUCUGAUUAGGUAGUCGGCGGGGUAACGGCCCACCGAGCCUACGAUCAGUAGGGGUUCUGAGAGGAAGGUCCCCCACAUUGGUACUGAGACACGGACCAAACUCCUACGGGAGGCAGCAGUGAGGAAUAUUGGUCAAUGGACGAGAGUCUGAACCAGCCAAGUAGCGUGCAGGAUGACUGCCCUAUGGGUUGUAAACUGCUUUUACAGGGGAAUAAAGUGAGGAACGUGUUCCUUUUUGUAUGUACCCUAUGAAUAAGGACCGGCUAAUUCCGUGCCAGCAGCAGC